GUCGGUAAAACUCGUGCCAGCCACCGCGGUUAAACGAGAGGCUCAAGUUGAUAGCCUUCGGCGUAAAGAGUGGUUAAGGAAUUAUUAAACUAGAGUCGAAUUUUCCCAUGGCUGUUAUACGCACCCGAGAACAUGAAGCCCGAGCACGAAAGUAACUUUAAAUAUCCUGACCCCACGAAAGCUGUGAAACAAACUGGGAUUAGAUACCCCACUAUG
rnacentral:rRNA from 1 species